CUGACCAGCUCUCCUGACGGCGACCUUCGUCGUGGCUGUGGGUCACUGCAGGACCCAACUGAUGCAUCAGGACUCCUGACCCCGGGCUGCAGAGCUCUAGUGAAUGUGGCCUGUGUUCUGUGUGGCGCAUCUAGACACACCACUCUUCUCCAGGACAACAAACUCUUGGUAGCUAUCCAGGGAAUUUAUUUAUUUGAGUGGUUCUGGUUUUUCCAGGGAAGAAAAAACUGCAACACUUUACAGCUGCUCUUUGGGACUGACGGACAAUUGAUGCAUUUAGUUUUCUUAACUGCAGACAGAGGUGUUGAAAGCCCAACUCAAGAGAAGGCAAGGACAAAUCAAUCUCCGAGAUGACGUGGGUUGGGUGAGGAAAGUAUAAAUAGGAAAAAUAUUUCCUUCACAAUAGCAACACAACUCAUGAAAUACACAGAAAUAAGAGAGUAAAUGAGUGUAUGAAUUAUAUGAAGAAAACUAUGGAACUCUACCAAGGAGUCUUAAUGCCUGGUGAGAUGUCCAUUUUCAUGGGGUGAUUCAACACCAGGAAGAAGCCUUUUCUCCCCACAUCAAUCUACAGAGUCAGAGAAACUCUAGUAGGAUUCUAAUAGGAUAUUUAUUGAAUUGUGACAAAGAAUUUCAAAAGUUCAUUGGGUAUGAAAUAAAAAUGAGAUAAUCUCAGAAAAUUUUAAAGAAGAAUAAUUGUUAGGAGGGUCAGCCUGACUAGCCACUCCAAUAAGAAGUAAGAGUAACUUAAACAGAAUGGUACUGAUGUGAGCAUGGGCAAGACCAGGAGAAGAGCACGGUCGUGACGCAACCCCAAGCACACACUGGAAAUGGAACAGGACAGAGACGGCAUCACUCGGCAGAAGAGCCCCACCCCAGUACAUAGCUGUGUAUUUUUAGUUGUGGGUCCCUCUAGUUGUGGCAUGUGGGACACCGCCUCAGCAUGGCCUGAUGAGUGGUGCCAUGUCCUCGCCCAGGAUCCGAACUGGGGAAACCCUGAGCCGGCCAAGCGGAGUGCCGAACUUAACCACCCGGCUGUGGGGCCAGCCCCACUAUAUUCAUCAUUCUUAACAGCUCCGGUAACAGUUGC
rnacentral:lncRNA from 1 species